UUGUUAUGCAGAUUUAAGCCGGUGCCUUCUCCACUGAUACACGGUUUCUGGAGAUUUGGAGCCUUCUUUCCCUUCCUCCAGGAAGACAUCCUUACAAACGCAGACUUCUCUUACAAAUGUGCUGCUAAGGUGACCAGCUGUCCCAGUGUACCUGGACCUGUUGUGGGUUUAGUGCCGAAGGUCCCAUGUCCUGGGAAUUCCUCCAGCCCAGACAAGCGCAGAUGCCUUAGGGUUUGGUCCUACGCCGUGUGUAGCAAAGGAACAGUCUCUAAGGAUGGAACGAUAACGAGAAGAAGACGGUUCUAUAAGAUGUAGCGAAGUGCUCUACACGUAACCCUCACAACGACCCUAGGAGCAGGCGGCAAAACUCCAACCCUAGUUGAAUCCACCUUGUGGCUUUCCCAGUCCUCGUUCCUGAUGGCCUGAAUGUCACUGGAGGAAAGUCCGGAAUCUGGAUGACCGGUUCGCUUUAAAGGUCAUAACUGCAAGCUGAAAACAGGCAGGCAGCACCGCACGGCAAGUCCAUUUUUUUUUUUUCUUUAGUAAAUCUGCUUUUCUCUUCCCCCAGAUGACAGUUUUAUUAUGUCAGGCUACUUCUCCCUCCAUGUCCAUCUGAUGACCAGAUGUCCUUUUGGAAGCUCUGUCCACUGAGACUCUAUCUCUUCCCUUAGUGCUGUUUUCGGGACCACCCGUGAGUGUCUCUGUGGGCGCAGCAGUCUAUUUUGGGCCAGAACCAACAAAUUGAGUUGACUG